rnacentral:rRNA from 1 species
GAUGAACGCUAGCGGCAGGCCUAAUACAUGCAAGUCGUGGGGCAGCAUGAAGUAGCAAUACUUUGAUGGCGACCGGCAAACGGGUGCGGAACACGUACACAACCUUCCUUUUAGUGGGGAAUAGCCCAGAGAAAUUUGGAUUAAUACCCCGUAACAUAGCGAUGUGGCAUCACAUUGCUAUUAUAGCUUCGGCGCUAGAUGAUGGGUGUGCGUAUGAUUAGAUAGUUGGCGAGGUAACGGCUCACCAAGUCUACGAUCAUUAGCUGAUGUGAGGGCAGGAUCAGCCACAAGGGCACUGAGAAACGGGCCCGACUCCUACGGGAGGCAGCAGUAGGGAAUAUUGGUCAAUGGACGAAAGUCUGAACCAGCCAUGCCGCGUGAAGGAUUAAGGUCCUCUGGAUUGUAAACUUCUUUUAUAUGGGACGAAAAAAGGUCUUUCUAGAUCACUUGACGGUACCAUAUGAAUAAGCACCGGCUAACUCCGUGCCAGCCGCCGCCGUAAUAC